UUGGAGGGCAAGUCUGGUGCCAGCAGCCGCGGUAAUUCCAGCUCCAAUAGCGUAUAUUUAAGUUGUUGCAGUUAAAAAGCUCGUAGUUGAAUUUCGGGGUUAGUAGGUUGGUCAUGCCUCUGGUAUGUACGGGUCUCACUGAUUCCUCCUUCCUGAUGAGCCGUAAUGCCAUUAAUUUGGUGUUGCGGGGAAUUUGGACUGUUAUUUUGAAAAAAUUAGAGUGUUUAAAGCAAGCUAACGCUUGAAUACAUUAGCAUGGAAUAAUGAAAUAGGACGUUCGAUCCUAUUUUGUUGGUUUCUAGGAUUGACGUAAUGAUUAAUAGGAAUAGUUGGGGGCAUUAGUAUUCAAUUGUCAGAGGUGAAAUUCUUGGAUUUAUUGAAGACUAACUACUGCGAAAGCAUUUGCCAAGGAUGUUUUCAUUAAUCAAGAACGAAAGUUAGGGGAUCGAAGACGAUCAGAUACCGUCGUAGUCUUAACCAUAAACUAUGCCGACUAGGGAUCGGGUGAUGUUAAUUUUUUAAUGACUCAUUCGGCGCCUUACGGGAAACCAAAGUGUUUGGGUUC
rnacentral:rRNA from 1 species